rnacentral:rRNA from 1 species
AUUGAACGCUGGCGGCAGGCCUAACACAUGCAAGUCGAACGAGUGGCGGACGGGUGAGUACUGUCUGUGUAUCUGCCUGUUGGAGGGGGAUAACUACUGGAAACGGUAGCUAAUACCGCAUCCCAUCGGCUGUGCCCAGAUGGGAUUAGCUAGUAGGUGGGGUAAAGGCUCACCUAGGCGACGAUCCCUAGCUGGUCGGAGAGGAUGACCAGCCACACUGGAACUGAGAAACGGUCCAGACUCAGACGGGAGGCAGAAGUGGGGAAUAGUGCACAAGGGGGGAAAGCCUGAGGCAGCCAUGCCGCGUGGAUGAAGAAGGCCGUCGGGUGGUAAAGUACUUUCAGCGGGGAGGCGUUACCCGCAGAAGAAGCACCGGCUAACUCCGUGCCAGCAGCCGCGGUAAUUC